CAGCAGUAGCCACGGUAAUACGUAGGUGGCGAGCGUUGUCCGGAUUUAUUGGGCGUAAAGGGAGUGUAGGCGGUCUUUUAAGUCUGAUGUGAAAGCCCACGGCUCAAUCGUGGAGGGUCAUUGGAAACUGGGAGACUUGAGUGCAGAAGAGGAGAGCGGAAUUCUAUGUGUAGCGGUGAAAUGCGUAGUUAUAUGGAGGAACACCAGUGGCGAAGGCGGCUCUCUGGUCUGUAACUGACGCUGAGGCUCGAAAGCGUGGGGAGCAAACAGGAUUAGAUACCCCGGUAGUCCCUGUCUCUUAUAC
rnacentral:rRNA from 1 species